rnacentral:rRNA from 2 species
UGCAGUCGACGAGCUUCCGUUGAUGACGUGCUUGCACUGAUUUUAACAAUGAAGCGAGUGGCGAACUGGUGAGUAACACGUGGGAAAUCUGCCCAGAAGCAGGGGAUAACACUUGGAAACAGGUGCUAAUACCGUAUAACAACAAAAUCCGCAUGGAUUUUGUUUGAAAGGUGGCUUCGGCUAUCACUUCUGGAUGAUCCCGCGGCGUAUUAGUUAGUUGGUGAGGUAAAGGCCCACCAAGACGAUGAUACGUAGCCGACCUGAGAGGGUAAUCGGCCACAUUGGGACUGAGACACGGCCCAAACUCCUACGGGAGGCAGCAGUAGGGAAUCUUCCACAAUGGACGAAAGUCUGAUGGAGCAAUGCCGCGUGAGUGAAGAAGGGUUUCGGCUCGUAAAACUCUGUUGUUAAAGAAGAACACCUUUGAGAGUAACUGUUCAAGGGUUGACGGUAUUUAACCAGAAAGCCACGGCUAACUACGUGCCAGCAGCCGCGGUAAUACGUAGGUGGCAAGCGUUGUCCGGAUUUAUUGGGCGUAAAGCGAGUGCAGGCGGUUUUUUAAGUCUGAUGUGAAAGCCUUCGGCUUAACCGGAGAAGUGCAUCGGAAACUGGGAGACUUGAGUGCAGAAGAGGACAGUGGAACUCCAUGUGUAGCGGUGGAAUGCGUAGAUAUAUGGAAGAACACCAGUGGCGAAAGCGGCUGUCUAGUCUGUAACUGACGCUGAGGCUCGAAAGCAUGGGUAGCGAACAGGAUUAGAUACCCUGGU